UCCAUGUAAGUGUAGAUGCGAGUUAAUGGCUUUGUGAAGAUGCAGUCGAACGUGUAUAUACGUUAUAACAAUAUGUUUCAUAAUUAUAUUUUAGUUACUUGCUAGUACGUUAGUGUAAAACGUGUGUUAGUAUAUUUUAAAACCUUAAACAAAUUUAAUAUUGGAUGGAGCUUCUUUGUAUAUUUGUGAGGUUCAAUAAGGCUUAUAGGUAUGUUAUAUCUAAUGGUUUAAUAAGAUGUUUUUGUAUUAUAUUAUCUUAUGUAUGAUUCUCAGAGUGUAUUGACUAUUGAGUUAGGUUGUGUAACUUUGUGCGUAUUGUGCUUUCCUCAAACAGUUUCAGGAUAUUUUUUUUUACUACACAUAUAUAAAGAUUGAAAGAUAUUAAUAUAAAUUCUGCGUGUUUUGAGGUGAAAGGGGAAAAAACUUUUACACAUAAAAAAGAUAUUAAUAUUAAUCUUAAUUAUGUUUUUGUCCAAACGGAAUAAUGUUUUAGUAGCUAUGUUGAGAUGUGAAUAAAAUACAUUUUACAUGUAAUACAAUUUAUAAUUCAUUUUAAUACAAUUUUUUUGAGAUGUAAGAUGAUUGGUUUAGUUAAAUAAAUAAAUAAUAGUAUAAGAUAAUAAUUAUGUCGAUUCAUUAUGUGAAUUUAUGGUAUGAUGAAUAUUUAACGUAAAAGUAGGAAUCUUUUUUAAUAUCUUGAUGUUAGUGGGAACUCCCCUAACGUAAAGUAUAUUCGUAUGUUAUAGUUCAAUAUAUG
rnacentral:lncRNA from 1 species